rfam:Triticum aestivum genome assembly, contig: Triticum_aestivum_CS42_TGACv1_scaffold_092142_1DS
GGAUGCGAUCAUACCAGCAGUAAAGCACCGGAUCCCAUCAGAACUUCGAAGUUAAGCGUGCUUGGGCGAGAGUAGUAAUAGGAUGGGUGACCUCCUGGGAAGUCCUCGUGUUGCGUUCC